rnacentral:rRNA from 1 species
GACGGGGCCCGCACAAGCGGAGGAACAUGUGGUUAAUUCGAUGAUACGCGAGGAACCUUACCUGGGCUUAAAUGUAGAGUGCAUUUUCUAGAGAUAGGAAUUCCCUUCGGGGCUUUCUACAAGGUGCUGCAUGGUUGUCGUCAGCUCGUGCCGUGAGGUGUCGGGUUAAGUCCCAUAACGAGCGCAACCCUUAUCGUUAGUUGCCAUCUGGUAAAGCAGGGGACUCUAGCGAAACUGCCACCGUAAGGUGAGAGGAAGGUGGGAUGACGUCAAAUCAGCACGGCCCUUAUGUCCAGGGCUACACACGUGUUACAAUGGUCGGUACAGAGGGCAGCUACCUGGUGACAGGAUGCUAAUCUCGAAAACCGGCCUCAGUUCGGAUCGAAGUCUGCAACUCGACUUCGUGAAGCUGGAUUCGCUAGUAAUCGCGCAUCAGCCAUGGCGCGGUCGAAUACGUUCCCGGGCCUU